rnacentral:rRNA from 1 species
AGCGAACGCUGGCGGCAGGCCUAACACAUGCAAGUCGAACGGACCCUCCGGGGUUAGUGGCGGACGGGUGAGUAACACGUGGGAACGUGCCUUUAGGUUCGGAAUAGCUCCUGGAAACGGGUGGUAAUGCCGAAUGUGCCCUUCGGGGGAAAGAUUUAUCGCCUUUGGAGCGGCCCGCGUCUGCUUAGCUAGUUGGUGAGGUAAUGGCUCACCAAGGCGACGAUCAGUAGCUGGUCUGAGAGGAUGACCAGCCACAUUGGGACUGAGACACGGCCCAAACUCCUACGGGAGGCAGCAGUGGGGAAUCUUGCGCAAUGGGCGAAAGCCUGACGCAGCCAUGCCGCGUGGAUGAUGAAGGUCUUAGGAUUGUAAAAUCCUUUCACCGGUGAAGAUAAUGACUGUAGCCGGAGAAGAAGCCCCGGCUAACUUCGUGCCAGCCGCCGCAGUAAGAC